AAAUGGUUACAAUUUGGCAAAACAUUCAAAUAUGAUUGCAUACUGUUUAGUAUCAUGAAAAGUUGUCACACAUACAUUGAAGUCUUAUGGUUUGAUAGUAAACAUACCGUACGCGGAGUAGUUAUAUUGCACUUGUGUGCGUUUUGUGAAAUCGUAGAAAAUUUUUCAUCAGUCAAACUGCCAUAUUUGUGUUCAUUUCUGCGAAUCGAGUGUCGAAACUUGUUUGAAGUGAAAUAAGGAAUGCAUACUUCUUAGGACUUCAGAGUGGUGCUGCAACAUAUCUACAGAGUUUCUGAAAGAUGUUUCAACAGCGCCGAAGGAUCGUGGAACCAGAAUAUCAUCCCCAAUGCUGAAUCUAGGCGCUGAGUUCAACUUGAACCUGUUUCGCAACUUUUAGCGGAAACAAAUAAAUACAACAUUUGUUCGUAGAUACACGAAUUGUCUUGUUAAAUUAUUAUGAAUAGGAAAAAAAAUAGAAUGGCAUAGGGUUGAUAUACCGUUGACUACCAUAAUCCAAUAAUUUCACAAAUUGUAAACGUUUUUAUUCAAAAUAUGUUGUUUUACAAUUCUAGAA